UCGUAUGUGGUCUUAAUGUCCCAGUGGCUAUCCUUUAACAUUAUUUUCGGUUUUCACCAACAUGCUUCAAUGAAUGAGUCGUCACAAACAAUGUGUUUUGCCCUUUAGUUAGUAUUACUCCUGUUAGACUAAUAAGUUCGAAAUUCGUUAUAGUGGUUCUUUGUUGUGCAAAAUUCGCUAUGCUAUGACCUUGGGUAAUCAAAUUGGUUUUUGUAAUAAGAGUCAACAUCUAUUUUUUGCAUCUGGAUAUAAUCGAUUAUAUUUUUUCUCUGUUUUCUUUCAAAGUAUGCUCAAAAUACCCCCAACGACUUAAUCAUGCACUCCCUUAAUUAUGAAUUAUGUGUCGAAGUUUCCUUAUCAACCUUAUCUAAAUGAAUCUAAGAGUAAGAGUAUGUUUGGCUUCGAACUCGUUUUGUUAAGAUUUCGUAGUUUGUGUCAAGCAAGAUUUACUCACCAUGUUGACAAGCCGUGGU
rnacentral:lncRNA from 1 species